rnacentral:rRNA from 1 species
AUUGAACGCUGGCGGCAUGCCUUACACAUGCAAGUCGAACGUGAAAGGGGGGCAACCCCCGAGUAGAGUGGCGGACGGGUGAGUAACACAUCGGAACGUACCCAGUAGUGGGGGACAACCUCGAGAAAUCGAGGCUAAUACCGCAUACGACCCACGGGUGAAAGCGGGGGACCGCAAGGCCUCGCGCUAUUGGAGCGGCCGAUGUCCGAUUAGCUUGUUGGCGGGGUAAGAGCCCACCAAGGCGACGAUCGGUAGCUGGUCUGAGAGGAUGAUCAGCCACACUGGGACUGAGACACGGCCCAGACUCCUACGGGAGGCAGCAGUGGGGAAUUUUUCGCAAUGGGCGCAAGCCUGACGAAGCAACGCCGCGUGGGGAUGAAGGUCUUCGGAUUGUAAACCCCUGUCGACCGGGACGAAAGUACCCGACCUAAACGUCGGAGUAUUGACUGUACCGGUGGAGGAAGCCACGGCUAACUCUGUGCCAGCAGCCGCCGC